UGAUAAUUCUUGACGGACAUAAAAAUUUUAUACAGAUAAAAAGAGAAAUCUAUAUUCAAGGAUUUUAUUUCUGUGAUUGUAAAUUAAUAUUUUUGUGAUAAUUCUUGUAUUUUUGUUAUAUUCGUAGUUACAUAUAGCCAGUUUGAAUUCGUGAUGGCUUGCCUUGAAACACCAAUAGCAAACGGAGAUUCCGAAAUGGAAGAAGGAGAAAUAGUGGACGAAGCUGAUGACCUCUCGGAUAUAUCAUCAGAGGAAGAGUUUUUGCUACGGCAGCGGUUACAAGUGUUAGAAAAUUAUAACAAUGUCUUAGAACGCAAGGAAGCCAAACGGACUUCUGUUGGGUCAGAUAAUGCUGCAGAUGUUUGCAGAGCAGAGGCUGAUAAAAGUGUAACAAAAUUGACUUUAAAAAUUACUAAAACACAAAAACCUGUUAAAGUUCAACAUAAACAAAAGAGAUCAAAGAUUAUUAAUAAACAAAGUACUAAAAUUAAAGAACAUAAGAGGAAAAAUCACCGCAUUAAAAAGAAAAUUACAAUUGUAAGUGAUAGUGACAUAUCAGACGAUGAAUACAGAAAUAAAAGACGAAGAUUGGAAAAUGCAGUUUGUUUAAGCAACAUUAAACAUGACACAACAACUUUAAAAGAUCGUCUUUCGAAAAUGCUUUGUGAAUCCAAAGCUGAAGCUCCUAAUAUUGAGGCUCCUUGUGAAAUAAUAAAAUCUCCAGAAACAAUAAAAAACAAUACACUUGAAGUAGAAAAUAACAAAGAAGAACCUAAUUUAGCAGUUAGUGUAGAGAAGUCUGAAAAUAUUAAUACUAUUGAACCGAUACAUAUUUGCAGUGAUGAAAAUCUAAGUAAACCAGAAGAAAUAUCGCAGGAUGUAAUUGAUACAGUUGUUAUUGAAAACAAAGAAGAAUCACAUAGUGAUUGCAAUUCUGACGAAGACUUAGAAUUGCUUCGGCAAAUGGCACUGAAAACAAAAUCUGUUAAAAUAGCCAUGCACAAAGAUCAAAAGUCCACAAAAAGCAAAGCACCUAUAAUAUCAGAAGAUGAGGAUAGUGACACAGCAGAGUUAAGAAUGAUUUGCCUAAAGUCAGCUUUAUUGAAAAAAGCUAUUGAAAUAAAGCAAAAACAGAAAUUACAGAAGAGACUUUCGCAAUCGUCUAUUGUGCCAGAUGACUUUGAUAUAGAAAAACCUGAAAAUGAUAUAAAUGUAGAUAAUAACACUGACAUUGAAUCAGUUGAUAUGGAUAUUGGAUCAGAUGCUGAAGACAAAGGAAAGAUUAUUAACGAUUCCAAUCAAAAGAAUGAAACUAAAAUUAAUAAUAAUAUGAUAAAAGAUGAGUUAGAAGAUGAUGAAGAUUUAUUGCGAGCAAAGUUACUAACUUCUCUGAGUAAAAAUCUUCCUAAUCUAGUGCAGUUAAAUGAUUUAGAUUCUGUUCUAGCUAAACCAGUUGUUAAGUCUGAAAAUACUGCCAAGGUACCUCCUCAACCUCAGCCAGAAGAGAAGAAAUUUAUUAUCCAACUGAGAGAAUCUGAUUCUGAAGGUGAAAAUGAAGCUACGAAAAAUUUGACUAAAAUGCACAUGAAGUUAUCAGAACAACAGGAAUUCCAAAACAAGUUAGAUCUCUUCCUAAAGUCGACACGAAUGGAAGUUGAAAAAAGUAAAUUGCCAGAUGUUGUUCAGAAACCUACACAAAAAGUACCAGAAAAAUUUGUAAUCAAGGCCAUGAAUCAUUUACCAAAAUCCGAACAAAUAGAGUACAAAAACUUAGUCAAGAGAAUGGCUGAAUUGGAAAAAUUGAAACAAGCUAGACAGAACGCUACUAUUGCUAUUAAUAAAGUAUCCACGCCAAAAGAAACUCUUAAACCUAGGAAUUUAUCAAUUGAAGCAUACAAAAUAGCUUAUGCAAAAAAAAUAGAAGACAAAAUCGCCCAGUCAAGAAAAAAUAUAGCCGAACAAUCAGGAAAAAUGCUCAGUUUGAAGGAAGAGGCCACAAAGCUAUCACAGAAAUAUAAAAUUGUUGCUACAGAACUGAGAAAUAUUGCUACUGCUAUAACCAUGAAUAAAAAACAACAAAAACUUUUGCAGAUUGGUUUAUCAAAAAUAAGACACCAACAUCAAAUGUUGAUAAAAAGCUCACCAGUAAGACAUUCCAACAGCCAAAACAUACAGAUUGGUCGACAACUGGAUAAAAUUAUAAAUACAACCAAAUUACAAAAAGAAAAUGAUCCAUCGACUGAAGAACACAAAAAUAUCGCUAUGCUGAAAUCUGUUAAAGUUAGCGUCGUUAAUAAUUUUAAUAACGACAAUAUUCAAUCGAAAGGCGUUCCUCCAAGACUGUCAGUACAAGUAGAUAUGAGUAACAACAAGAAAGUAGUAAAGAUGCCGAGUCCAAUAAAAGACAGAGUGGUUGAUAUUAAGAAAACAAUUACAAAGUCACAUAUCAGUGACGUAAAAAAUGAAGAAAUAGUUAAUACGACAGAUAAGCAAAUAGACACAAGAUGUAGAAAUGAAACAGAAUCCUGCGAUGAGAUUCCAGCAAAUGUAAAUGAUUAUAAAUCGCCAUUAGGCUCUUUACAGUGCAGAAAUUGGGAAGAAGAUCCAAACGGCGUCCUGUGUCCUUUCGAAGUCGGCGGCAGCUGCAGAGACACGGACUGCAAAUACCUCCAUCCCAAACCCCAUAAAACUGAAUGACAAUACAUUACACACGUAUACAAACACAGACAUUCAUACAAUACUUACACAUGUCACAUAACACACGCGAUUGUCUCCCACUGUCCUUUUUAUCUUCAACCGCCUAAGGAUGCCAUUACGUUUGCCGUCAACAGUCGGGGCAGCGGAGCUUCGGGUGUGGUAAGUGAACGUUUAAUAGUGAUCUAAAGUAGUGGUUAUCGACUUGACAUUUUGGUCCAGUGUUGCCAGAACUUCGUGUCGUGUUCAAUUAUAAUGGUAAACUGUGUUUGUGGACUUUUCAUAUCGACUUUAGUUGUUUAUUAUUAAUUCAUUAUACUAUAAAUAUUAUUAUUGAAAUAAAUGUACAAUGUACAUAAUGUAAAAAUAAAGAAGUUAUUAAUAAAGUUAUUUAAAAA
rnacentral:misc_RNA from 1 species